rnacentral:tRNA from 1 species
GGGAAUAUAGCUCAGUUGUAGAGUGCUUGCCUACCAGGUAUGAGGCCCUGGGUUCAAUCCUCAGUACUGCAA